rnacentral:rRNA from 1 species
CACGGGGGGAGCAAGCGUUGUUCGGAUUCAUUGGGCGUAAAGGGCUCGUAGGUGGCUUUGUAAGUCGGAGGUGAAAUCCCACGGCUCAACCGUGGACACGCCUUCGAAACUGUGAAGCUUGAGGCUGGGAGAGGAGAUCGGAAUUCCUGGUGUAGCGGUGAAAUGCGUAGAUAUCAGGAGGAACACCGGUGGCGAAGGCGGCAUCCUGGACCGACACUGACGCUGAGGAGCGAAAGCCAGGGGAGCAAACGGG